UCCCCCGUGGGCCGGACCCCAUCACGUCCGACUCACCGCCGCCACCUCCGAGGGACCUCUCGGUGCUCAGGAAGGUUCCUACCGGACCAAACCCAGAGACGUCCGACUCACCGCCACCACCUCCGAGGGACUUCUCGGUGCUCGGGAAGGUUCCUACCGGACCAAACCCAGAGACGUCCGACUCACCGCCACCACCUCCGAGGGAUUUCUCGGUGCUCAGGAAGGUUCCUACCGGACCAAACCCGGCGACGUCCGACUCACCGCCACCACCUCCGAGGGACUUCUCGGUGCUCAGGAAGGUUCCUACCGGACCAAACCCGGUGACGUCCGACUUACCGUCGCCACCACGGCUGCCAGCUGCAGCUUCUCCGGCGUGAUGCAAUUACCGGCGCCAUGCAUGUUACAUGUGAUGUAGCUACCUUGUAGUGUUA
rnacentral:lncRNA from 1 species